rnacentral:rRNA from 1 species
UACAGAGGGUGCGAGCGUUGUCCGGAAUCACUGGGCGUAAAGGGCGCGUAGGCGGCCUGGUAAGUAGGGGGUGAAAUCCCACGGCUCAACCGUGGGGCUGCCUCCUCGACUGCCGGGCUCGAGCACAGUAGAGGCAGGUGGAAUUCCCGGUGUAGCGGUGGAAUGCGUAGAGAUCGGGAAGAACAUCGGUGGCGAAGGCGGCCUGCUGGGCUGUUGCUGACGCUGAGGCGCGACAGCGUGGGGAGCAAACAGGAUUAGAAACCCGUGUAGU